CCUACGGGAGGCAGCAGUGGGGAAUAUUGGGCAAUGGGGGCAAGCCUGAUCCAGCAACGCCGCGUGAAUGAAGAAGGCUUUCGGUUUGUAAACUUCUUUUCGCAGGGACGAAGCUAGUGACGGUACCUGAGGAAUAACCCACGGCUAACGUCGUGCCAGCAGCCGCGGUAAUACGUAGGUGACAAGCGUUAUCCGGAUUUACUGGGUGUAAAGGGAGUGUAGGCGGGAAAGCAAGUCAGAAGUGAAAACCAUGGGCUCAACCUGUGGCCUGCAUUUGAUAAUGUUUUUCUUGAGUACUGGAGAGGCAGACGGAAUUCCUAGUGUAGCGGUGAAAUGCGUAGAUAUUAGGAGGAACACCAGUGGCGAAGGCGGUCUGCUGGACAGCAACUGACGCUGAGGCGCGAAAGCGUGGGGAGCAAACAGGAUUAGAUACCCUUGUAGUC
rnacentral:rRNA from 1 species